rnacentral:rRNA from 1 species
UCGGGAAUUUUGGGCAAUGGGCGAAAGCCUGACCCAGCAACGCCGCGUGAAGGAUGAAGUAUUUCGGUAUGUAAACUUCGUAAGAAUAGGAAGAAUAAAUGACGGUACUAUUUGUAAGGUCCGGCUAACUACGUGCCAGCAGCCGCGGUAAUACGUAGGGACCAAGCGUUGUUCGGAUUUACUGGGCGUAAAGGGCGCGUAGGCGGUUUGUCAAGUCAGUUGUGAAAUCUCCGAGCUUAACUCGGAACGGUCAACUGAUACUGUCAAACUAGAGUACAGAAGGGGCAAUCGGAAUUCUUGGUGUAGCGGUGAAAUGCGUAGAUAUCGGAAGGAACAUCAGUUGCGAAGGCGGCUCUCUGGACUCAAACUGACGCUGAGGCACGAAAGCGUGGGUAGCGAACAGGAUUAGAUACCCCGGUAGUCCCUGAGCGGGCUGGCAAGGCGCAU